GACGAACGCUGGCGGCGUGCUUAACACAUGCAAGUCGAACGAAGUGGCGAACGGGUGAGUAACGCGUAAUCAACCUGCCCUUCAGAGGGGGACAACAGUUGGAAACGACUGCUACUACGGACUACGACGGGGGGGGAUUGCGUCUGAUUAGCUAGUUGGGGGGUUAACGGCCCACCAAGGCGAUGAUCAGUAGCCGGGCUGGGAGGAUGAACGGCCACAUUGGGACUGGGACACGGCCCAGACUCCUACGGGAGGCAGCAGUUGGGAAUCUUCCGCAAUGGACGAAAGUCUGACGGAGCAACGCCGCGUGAGUGAUGACGGCCGUCGGGUUGUAAAGCUCUGUUAAUCGGGACGCGGUACCGGAAUAGAAAGCCACGGCUAACUACGUGCCAGCAGCCGCGGUAAUAC
rnacentral:rRNA from 1 species